rnacentral:rRNA from 1 species
UACGUAGGGUGCAGGCGUUAAUCGGAAUUACUGGGCGUAAAGCGUGCGCAGGCGGUUUGCUAAGACAGGUGUGAAAUCCCCGGGCUUAACCUGGGAACUGCGCUUGUAACUGGCAAGCUAGAGUGUGGCAGAGGGGGGUGGAAUUCCAGGUGUAGCAGUGAAAUGCGUAGAUAUGUGGAGGAACACCGAUGGCGAAGGCAGCCCCCUGGGUCAAGACUGACGCUCAUGCACGAAAGCGUGGGGAGCAAACAGG